UGCGUAGGCGGUUUAUUAAGUCAGUGGUGAAAGACGGUCGCUCAACGAUUGCAGUGCCAUUGAUACUGGUAGACUUGAGUGUGAUUGAGGUAGCUGGAAUGGAUAGUGUAGCGGUGAAAUGCGUAGAGAUCUGGAGGAAUACCGAUUGCGAAGGCAGCCCCCUGGACAGUGACUGACGCUCAUAUGCGAAAGCGUGGGGAUCAAACAGGAUUAGAUACCCCCGUA
rnacentral:rRNA from 1 species